rnacentral:rRNA from 1 species
GCUGGCGGCGUGCCUAACACAUGCAAGUCGAGCGGAGACAGUGAGUAGCUUGCUAUGAACUGUUUUAGCGGCGGACGGGUGAGUAACGCGUGAGCAACCUUUCCCAGACAGGGGAAUAACACACCGAAAGGUGUACUAAUACCGCAUAAGACCACGGGAUCACAUGGUUCUGGGGUAAAAGAAUUAUCGGUUUGGGGUGGGCUCGCGUCCGAUUAGGUAGUUGGUGAGGUAACGGCCCACCAAGCCGACGAUCGGUAGCCGACCUGAGAGGGUGAUCGGCCACAUUGGGACUGAGACACGGCCCAAACUCCUACGGGAGGCAGCAGUGGGGAAUAUUGGGCAAUGGAGGAAACUCUGACCCAGCAACGCCGCGUGGAGGAAGAAGGUUUUCGGAUCGUAAACUCCUGUCCUUGGAGACGAGUAGAAGACGGUAUCCAAGGAGGAAGCCCCGGCUAACUACGUGCCAGCAGCCGCGGUAAUACGUAGGGGGCAAGCGUUGUCCGGAAUAAUUGGGCGUAAAGGGCGCGUAGGCGGCUCGGUAAGUCUGGAGUGAAAGUCCUGCUUUUAAGGUGGGAAUUGCUUUGGAUACUGUCGGGCUUGAGUGCAGGAGAGGUUAGUGGAAUUCCCAGUGUAGCGGUGAAAUGCGUAGAGAUUGGGAGGAACACCAGUGGCGAAGGCGACUAACUGGACUGUAACUGACGCUGAGGCGCGAAAGUGUGGGGAGCAAACAGGAUUAGAUACCCUGGUAGUCCACACUGUAAACGAUGAAUGCUAGGUGUAGGGGGUAUCGACCCCUUCUGUGCCGCAGUCAACACAAUAAGCAUUCCGCCUGGGGAGUACGGCCGCAAGGUUGAAACUCAAAGGAAUUGACGGGGGCCCGCACAAGCAGCGGAGCAUGUGGUUUAAUUCGACGCAACGCGAAGAACCUUACCAGGUCUUGACAUCCACUUAAACUUACAGAGAUGUAAGGUGUGCUUGCACAAAG